rfam:Batrachochytrium dendrobatidis JAM81 unplaced genomic scaffold BATDEscaffold_1, whole genome shotgun sequence.
GGUUCUAUGGUGUAGUUGGUUAUCACGCGUCCUUCACACGGACGAGGUCUCCGGUUCGAACCCGGGUGGAAUCA